AGAAUUUUGGGCAAUGGACGAAAGUCUGACCCAGCAAUGCCGCGUGCGGGAUGAAGGUCUUCGGAUUGUAAACCGCUGUCAAGAGGGACGAAACAUGACGGUACCUCUGGAGGAAGCCACGGCUAACUACGUGCCAGCAGCCGCGGUAAUACGUAGGUGGCGAGCGUUGUUCGGAUUUAUUGGGCGUAAAGGGUCCGCAGGUGGUUGGAUAAGUUUGACGUGAAAUCCCAGAGCUCAACUCUGGAACUGCGUUGAAAACUGUCUGACUGGAGUAUCGGAGAGGAGAUUGGAAUUCCAGGUGUAGCGGUGGAAUGCGUAGAUAUCUGGAAGAACACCGAAAGCGAAGGCAGAUCUCUGGACGAUAACUGACACUCAGGGACGAAAGUAUGGGGAUCAAACA
rnacentral:rRNA from 1 species